rnacentral:lncRNA from 1 species
GUCCAGUUGUUGUAAUUUUACAUAAUUAUAAAUGGCUGAAGAAGAUUUUAAAGAAGGUUUCAUCAAGUUUUGAAACAGAGCAGUGUAUUUAAUCUUCGAUAUUGUGUCCUUCGAUAUUUCGCCAAAUUGCCGCCAUUUUAAUGGCUCGCCGCUUCUCUGCCCGAUAAAUGCCACUUCUUCGUUUUCAUAUGUAUUUGGAUUACAUUAUCCAAGAGUACUUCAUUGUCGAAUAGUUCCAAUCCAAAAAUUGAAAACAUUUGCACUUGGGUGGAAAAAACCUCCCAUAAUAGUUGUCCUGUCAGAAUUCAAAAGAAGUAAUUUAAAAGUCACGCGCAAGUUCGCGAAAUCACCUCGUGGGUCACAUGACAGGAGGGGAUAUUUUCAUGAAAAGUUUGUUCGCCACCACAGCAACCUAACUAAG